GUGCUCACUUUGGCGGCACACAUACUAAAAUUGGAACAAUGCAGAGAUGAGCCUAGCCCCUGUGCAAGGAUGACACGCAAAUUCAUGAACCAUUCCGUAAGUUU
ensembl:snRNA U6 U6 spliceosomal RNA